ACGCACGCUGGCGGCGUGCUUAACCCAUGCAAGUCGAACGCUGAAGCACCAGCUUGCUGGUGUGGAUGAGUGGCGAACGGGUGAGUAAUACGUGAGUAACCUGCCCUUGACUCUGGGAUAAGCCCGGGAAACUGGGUCUAAUACUGGAUGCUACAUGUCACCGCAUGGUGGUGUGUGGAAAGGGUUUACUGGUCUUGGAUGGGCUCACGGCCUAUCAGCUUGUUGGUGAGGUAAUGGCUCACCAAGGCGACGACGGGUAGCCGGCCUGAGAGGGUGACCGGCCACACUGGGACUGAGACACGGCCCAGACUCCUACGGGAGGCAGCAGUGGGGAAUAUUGCACAAUGGGCGAAAGCCUGAUGCAGCGACGCCGCGGGAGGGAUGACGGCCUUCGGGUUGUAAACCUCUUUCAGCAGGGAAGAAGCCACAAGUGACGGUACCUGCAGAAGAAGCGCCGGCUAACUACGUG
rnacentral:rRNA from 1 species